UACAGAGGUCCCAAGCGUUGUUCGGAUUCAUUGGGCGUAAAGGGUGUGUAGGUGGCGCCGUAAGUCGGGUGUGAAAUCUCGGGGCUUAACUCCGAAGCUGCAUUCGAUACUGCGGUGCUUGAGGACUGGAGAGGAGACUGGAAUUCAUGGUGUAGCAGUGAAAUGCGUAGAGAUCAUGAGGAAGACCAGUGGCGAAGGCGGGUCUCUGGACAGUUCCUGACACUGAGACACGAAGGCCAGGGGAGCAAACGGG
rnacentral:rRNA from 1 species